rnacentral:rRNA from 1 species
AUACGGAGGGGGCUAGCGUUGUUCGGAUUUACUGGGCGUAAAGCGCGCGUAGGCGGCCUGUCUAGUUGGGUGUGAAAGCCCGGAGCUCAACUCCGGAAUUGCAUUCAAAACUGGCAAGCUAGAGACCGAGAGAGGUGAGUGGAAUUUCCAGUGUAGAGGUGAAAUUCGUAGAUAUUGGAAAGAACACCAGUGGCGAAGGCGGCUCACUGGCUCGGUACUGACGCUGAGGUGCGAAAGCGUGGGUAGCAAACAGGAUUAGAAACCCCAGUAGUCC